rnacentral:rRNA from 1 species
GACAGAGGGUGCGAACGUUGUUCGGAAUUACUGGGCGUAAAGCGCGUGUAGGCGGCAGCGUGUGUCGGGCGUGAAAUCCCACGGCUCAACCGUGGAAGUGCACUCGAAACUGCGCAGCUAGAGUCCUGGAGAGGAAGGUGGAAUGCUUGGUGUAGAGGUGAAAUUCGUAGAUAUCAAGCGGAACACCGGUGGCGAAGGCGGCCUUCUGGACAGUGACUGACGCUGAGACGGCGAAAAGCGUGGGGAGCAAACAGG